GCAGGAGGCCGGGCUGCAGUAUGCAGUGUCCUCCACGUCCCUGGGCCCUGUCGGUCCUGCUCCUGCAAGCGGCAGGCCUGGGAAGGAAGAGUUAACCAGAAAUGGAGCGGCGCUGCUCCGGGGCAAGCAGGCUCGCUGCAGAACAGAGCCGAGAUCGUGCAAAGGCAGCUCAGUAGUGCGGUGCGGGGCUGGCUGAGUGAAGUGCGUGCCCCAGUCGCUUUUGAGCAGAGCUCUGUGCCAUCCCUGGGUCCUCGGCAGAAUGAGCCAUGA
rnacentral:lncRNA from 1 species